GACGAACGCUGGCGGCGUGCCUAAUACAUGCAAGUCGAACGCAGUGGGGACGGGUGAGUAACACGUGGGUAACCUCCCAUCAGAGGGGAUAAACCUUGGAAACAGGUGCUAAACCGAUACUGAUGGAUGGACCAGCGGGGCAUUAGCUAGUUGGGUAGGUAACGGCUGACCAAGGACACGAUGCAUCGCCGACCUGGGAGUGUGAUCGGCCACACUGGGACUGAGACACGGCCCAGACUCCUACGGGAGGCAGCAGUAGGGAAUCUUCGGCAAUGGACGAAAGUCUGACCGAGCAACGCCGCGUGAGUGAAGAAGGUUUGCGGAUCGUAAAACUCUGUUGUUAGAGAAGCGGUAUCUAACCAGAAAGCCACGGCUAACUACGUGCCAGCCGCCGCGGUAAUUC
rnacentral:rRNA from 1 species